GCCCCUGUAGCUCAGUUGGUAAGAGCGCGUCCUUGGUAAGGACGAGGUCGGCGGUUCAACUCCGCCCGGGGGCU
rnacentral:tRNA from 2 species